GCCGGGUCCCUUAUUCUUACAGAGGGGCUGGGGGCUCUGUUAGCUACGGAAGGAGCCUUUAAUGAGCGGCGUUGGAGCCGGGGGCUCCCGGCCGAGGAGGAGACGGGGACCGCACUGGAAUUAAGUUGAGAGCGAGAGAGUUAAUUGCCGUGCCCCAAGGAGAGCAGCUUCACGCAUACGCAAAGAGGGGGUGAGGGGGUCCCCCUUUUUCUCGAGAAGCAUGCAAACACCGCGUUCCCCUCCGCGCCCGCGGCUCAACCGUCCGGAUGACAAAAGAGAAGAUAAGAACGAGGAGAGUCAUAAUAAUAACAACAACAAUGGUAGUAAUAAUAGAAGACAACCUUUCGCCGUGCCCGGGCACCCACCACAGAGAGGGGCAGGAGGAGGAAGGAUCGCACCCGCAGCCUGGGUUGAAUUUGAUUUGAACCAUUUUGAAUAUAUUUAGCCCCAGCUUUCCCCUCUUGAAUGCGAGGCUGUCCCGAGUUUCAAAGUGACCGAAAAGUGACACCGUGUGCAUUUUGUUUCUUAUUAAUCUUACACAUUGACAGUCUUUGUUAAAUAACAAGGCGUGCCCUUCACCAGGCGACAUUUUCAUAUUUGUUAGACGCGGUGACCUGAAGUUCACCUCGGCCUUGGACUUAGUUUUUCUAAAAGGUCUAUAAGAGUGCCUUUUAGAUAGCGGGGUGCUUUGCCCAGGUCACCACUUCUAAGGGAAAAUUAAGACAAAAAUCGCGGGAAAAUGUAAACGUUAUGGAAUGUACCCACUGUAUUCCCCCCUUUGUUCCCGGCAAUCGCAGAGCCCCGGGGCAGCCACCGCCUUCCGCGGGGGCGCAGCGCGCUCCGCGCUGGGGGGACGCGCCCGUUGGGCCCCCAAGUUCAGCGCUGUGGAGAAGCGGGGACUCCCCCGGCAGAGGCUCUGCUCCCAGCGACGCCGUGUUUGGCGGCCGUGCUCGCUCUGUCCUGCCGUGGUUAAAUAAACACACGUAAAACGUGGUUUGCGCCCGGAUUUUAAAUGAAUGGUCUUUGGGCCACAGCUUCCACGCCGGAGAGCAGCGCGCUGAAAGCGAAGAGCCAAAGGGAAGAAAGGGCUCGCCUCAAAUAAUUCAUCCCUCCCCCCCCGUCUUAUUGUUUUCAUUUUAAGGGAAUCAUUUAAACACCGAUUCGAAAGAUUCGGUAUUUCCCGAAGCCGAAGUUUGAAAAUAUUCUCGCUGAUAUUUUGAUCCUAGGCUAGACUGAAAAAUACGGAACCCGAGCGACGAAUUGUUUUGGUAAGGAAGCAAAUGGAUUUCCGUCACCUACUCCUGAGUAACCCAGUUAGAGUAGCAGCUUUCGUUCUGGGUGUAUCAAAGACGCAUUGUUGUUCUUGGAAACAAUCUGCCCGCUAUUCUUUAACAAAAUAGAUAUUCGGCCACGGCUUUUAGCUUGUUAUCAGGCUUCGCUCUUACACCAAAUAAAUACUCUAGAUGUGAAAGGUUAAACAAUAUCUGCGGGGAGGGAAGGGUCUCCAAACGGGCAGUGCCAGGGCUGGCUGCGAGGGAGCAGCAGCAGGAGCUCGGGAACCGCGUCCCCACGCCGAGCAAACGCUCGCACACCUUGCUGAGCUCCAGCAGGUAGAGCGGGCGAAGCCUCCAGCAAUAACUCGGGGCUGACCUGAAAUCUCACACCACGCGCAUGUGUUCCCAAGAAAUAUCGCCCGGCUGCCACGAUCCAGCCGUGUCCCUGGCAAAUAAUUCACGCGUAGCCCGUGCGUGGAGGACGGCACAGGCUCUCGCCUUCGGGCUCGAAAGGCAGCUAUGCACGGAUGGUGGUGAGCUGGGAAGAGGAGGCAAACCAA
rnacentral:lncRNA from 1 species